rnacentral:rRNA from 1 species
UACGUAGGCAGCGAGCGUUGUUCGGAAUUACUGGGCGUAAAGAGUGUGUAGGCGGUGCUCUAAGUUCGGUGUGAAAUCUCCUGGCUUAACUGGGAGGGUGCGCCGGAAACUGGGGUGCUCGAGCGUGGGAGAGGAAAGCGGAAUUCCUGGUGCAGCGGUGAAAUGCGUAGAUAUUAGGAAGAACACCGGUGGCGAAGGCGGCCAUCUGGCUCGGUACUGACGCUCAGGUUCGAAAGCGUGGGGAGCAAACAGG